AUGUUAUCUUUGGCAGCAUACCUACUAAAAUUUGAAUGAUACAGAGAAGAUUAGCAUGGCACCUGUACAAG
rnacentral:snRNA from 1 species